UGAUAAAUUUUGCGGAUGUCAUAUUUUCGGCCGUUUAUUAUCAAAUUUUUUAAAGUUAAUAUUUGCCGGGAGUACUCGACCUCAGCUUUCCAACGAACCCAUACACGCCUGUGUCCUCGCCACUUUACGGAAAUAAAAUCCGAACUACGAAACCAUAUUUUUCGACGUUUGGCCGCUUACAACCAGCCAAGUAUGGAAGAUCAAAAAUAUAUGAGCUGGGCCCUAUAGUCGGUAUAAAC